AUAAGCGAAUGCGGAUGCCUUGGGAUAUUGAUGCGAUGAAGGACGUGGCGUGCCUGCGAUAAGCAUCGGGGAGGUGGCUAGCAACCUUUGAUCCGGUGAUUUCCGAAUGAGGAAACUCAAUAUGAUUAAUCUCAUAUUAUCUGUCCAGCUUUUUGUACUUUAAAAAUUUAAAGUUUAAAAAGUUGGACAGAAGCGUACCCGGCGAAGUGAAACAUCUCAGUAGCCGGAGGAAAAGAGAACAAAGUUAUCCCCUUAGUAGUGGCGAGCGAACAGGGGGAAGCCUAAACAGAAUCUUUAGAUUCUGGGUUGUAAGGUUGUAGCGUCAGGAGCACUACCUUUUGCUUCGCAAAAGGAAUUAAAAAUUUAAAAUUUUAAAUUUAAAAUUUUUCGCGCGGAGCGCGAGGUAAUGCUUGCUGAGAGAGAAUACAAAAUAAUAGUGUUAAAAGAAGCACCCUGGAAAGGGGCGCCAUAGAGGGUAAUAGCCCCGUAUUCUAAAAUACUUAUUAUGCUCUUUGCUAUGAUUCUUGAGUACUGUCGGGAAUGAUAACCUGGCAGGAAGCAGGCCGAACUAUCGGCCAAGGCUAAAUAAUCAAUAUCACCGAUAGUGAACCAGUACCGUGAGGGAAAGGUGAAAAGUAGGGGGGUGACCCCGGUGAAAUAGUACCUGAAACCAUUUGCUUACAAAGAGUCGGAGCCCCGCCUUUGGCGGGGUGACGGCGUGCUUUUUGCAGAACGAGCCAACGAGUCUGGAUAUAUAAUUGUCUAAGCCCUUUUGGGGCGGAGGCAUAGCGAAAGCGAGUGUUAAAAGCGCGAAUUAUAAUUGUAUAUUCAGGACCCGAAGCGUGACGAGCUUGCCAUGAGCAGGAUGAAUCCCGCCGAAAGGCGGGAGGAGGUCCGAACUAGUGAGGCGUGCAAUCCUCUUGGAUGAUUUGUGGCAAGGAGUGAAAAGCUAAUCGAGUUACGUAAUAGCUGGUUCUUCCCGAAACAGCUUUAGGGCUGGCGUCUAUUAACAGCACACGGGGGUAGAGCACUGAAUAGAAUUCCUUGGAGUUUCUCCAGGUUCUCUAAUCAAACUCCGAAUACCGUGUGUUUUGGAUAGGCAGUUAGACUGCGGGGGCUAAGCUCCGUGGUCAAAAAGGAAACAGCCUAGAUCAUCGUCUAAGGUCCCUAAAUUAGACUAAGUGUUUUUAAGGAAGUAUUUUGCCCUAGACAGGCAGGAAGUUAGCUUAGAGGUAGCUAUCUUUUAAAGAGUGUGUAACAACUCACUGCCCAAAGUCUUUCCUUUGGAAAGGCAGGGGCGAGAUGCGCCAAAGAUUAUCGGGACUAAAGUCUAAUACCGAAGACAUGGAUUACUGCUCCUCACUUUUGUUCGGAGCUCAUCAACGAAUAACGAAUCAAUACGAAUGUACGAAUUAGUAAAUUCGUAACAAAUUCGUAAUUCGAUGAUGAAGCGACGAGCAGUAGCGAGGAGCGGUAGUGGUAGGGAAGCAUUCUGAGGGCACUGAAGCCGAAGUGUAAACGACGGUGGAGCGCUCAGAAGAGAGAAUGUUGGCCUGAGUAACCGCAUUGCAGGUGAAAGCCCUGCACACCGAAAGUCCAAGGUUUCCUUGGCAAUGGUAUUCAACCAAGGGUUAGGCGGUCCUAAGGCAAACCCGAAAGGGGCAGCUGAUGGACAGUCGGUUAAUAUUCCGACCCUCGGAUACAUUUUGAUAGAAAGACGCAUUACAGUAGUUUCAGCGGAUUAUUGGAUUUCACGCUCUUGCACUAAGGUAAAUCAAGGUGCGAGAAAAGCCCCGCCUUUGGCGGGACAAUUGAGAUGAGCGCGAUGCCCAGAAAAAAGCUAUCAAGCUAAUUGUAUUCGAACCGUACCGCAAACCGACACAGGUGGACAAGCGUAAGUAUGCUAAGGUGAACGGGUGAAACCUCGUUAAGGAACUCGGCAAACAAGUGGCCGUAAGUUCGCAAUAUGGCCUUCCCUCCACCGCAAGGUGGUCGGGAUGCAACAAACGUACUUCAAGCGACUGUUUAUCAAAAACACAGCUCCCUGCUAACUCGUAAGAGGAUGUAUAGGGGGUGAGGCCUGACCAGUGUUGGAAUGUUAAGUUUGGGGGUCUGAGCCGUAAGGUUCAGGCUCACUGAAUGAAGCACCAAUGAACGUCGGCGAUAACUAUAAGAUGACGAUUGUAGUUAUAAAACUUCGCUAUAUGCUGGAAACUCUGUAGUAUCUGAUGCUACUAUGUUAUAAUAUAUUAAAGGUGUAUUUACCCCUUUGAUAUUAUGCAAAGUAAAAAAGCAUUCAGUGCAGACAAUCAGCAGGAAAGAAUAGAAAUAUGUGGAUGGAUUACUGGGUUUGUAGAUGGAGAAGGGUCUUUUCUUGUAAAUAUAUUUCAAUCUCCAAGAGCAAAAAAUAAAUGGCAAGUUUUUCCUGAAUUUAAUGUUUCACAAUCAUUAAAAGGAAAAGAUUUGCUUCAUAAAUUAGAAAAAUUUUUUGCUUGCGGACAUAUAUACGCGCACAACGCGAGAAAUAUAAAACAAGGAAAAUGGGACCCUCUCUAUAAAUAUUGCGUCAGAAAUAGAAGCGAAUUGCAAGAAAAAAUUAUUCCUUUUUUCAAAAAUUAUAAAUGUUUUGGCAAAGCCAAAAUAAAUGAUUUUGAAAGAUUUGUUAAAGUUAUUGAAAUGAUGGAUAAGGGAGAACACUUAACAAAAAAGGGAAUGAUAAAAAUUGCAAGAAUCGCAGAAAAAA
rnacentral:rRNA from 1 species